rnacentral:rRNA from 1 species
CAGUCGCCACGGUAAAACAGAGGGUGCAAGCGUUAAUCGGAAUUACUGGGCGUAAAGCGCGCGUAGGUGGUUUGUUAAGUUGGAUGUGAAAUCCCCGGGCUCAACCUGGGAACUGCAUUCAAAACUGACUGACUAGGGUAUGGUAGAGGGUGGUGGAAUUUCCUGUGUAGCGGUGAAAUGCGUAGAUAUAGGAAGGAACACCAGUGGCGAAGGCGACCACCUGGACUAAUACUGACGCUGAGGCACGAAAGCGUGGGGAGCAAACAGGAUUAGAUACCCGCGUAGUCCCUGUCUCUUAUAC